rnacentral:rRNA from 1 species
GAUGAACGCUGGCGGCGUGCUUAACACAUGCAAGUCGAACGAAGCACUUUAUUUGAUUUCCUUCGGGAUUGAUUAUUUUGUGACUGAGUGGCGGACGGGUGAGUAACGCGUGGGUAACCUGCCUUGUACAGGGGGAUAACAGUUGGAAACGGCUGCUAAUACCGCAUAAGCGCACAGCAUCGCAUGAUGCAGUGUGAAAAACUCCGGUGGUAUAAGAUGGACCCGCGUUGGAUUAGCUAGUUGGUGAGGUAACGGCCCACCAAGGCGACGAUCCAUAGCCGACCUGAGAGGGUGACCGGCCACAUUGGGACUGAGACACGGCCCAAACUCCUACGGGAGGCAGCAGUGGGGAAUAUUGCACAAUGGGCGAAAGCCUGAUGCAGCGACGCCGCGUGAGCGAAGAAGUAUUUCGGUAUGUAAAGCUCUAUCAGCAGGGAAGAUAAUGACGGUACC